CAUACAAAUGUGCUUUGCUCUCCAUAGGCCCCUUAAGAUUUAUGGGCCUUGGGCUUCUCUGAAUCUGUAAACAAGGAGAAAAAAAGAGGGAGAGAGACAGGGAGAGAGAGAGAGACAGAGGCCUCACUCGUCCCUCCAGGUUGUGAAAGAGAGAAUAGAUCUGCAAAUUCGGUUCUUAUCUAUUUUUCUUUACUUAGAUAUGUGGUUAGGCCUGCUUUCACAUCUCUCCGUGGCUGUGUAUUGGUGUUGGGGCCUGUGGUCAUGGUGUGUGCAGAAGCCGAGCCUACUUCAUUAAAGAAGAAAAGAUCAUUUCUCCCCGGAUAAUCCCAACAUACCCCUCGUAUUCUUCAGUGAAGGAAGACAAACAACGAUGUUUGGGCAGGGACUGGUAACGGAGAAGACAGGGGUGGCAUCUGCGGUCUCUGCCUCUUGGUAACCAGAAGAACAAAAUGAAAUCUCCAGAAAGAAAAGAAGAAGAAGAAGAAGAAGAAGAAGAA